GCAAGUCGAGCGAGAAAGUACUUCGGUACGAGUAAAGCGGCGGACGGGUGAGUAACGCGUAGGAAUCUACCUGGUAGUGGGGGACAACAUGUGGAAACGCAUGCUAAUACCGCAUACGACCUAAGGGUAAAAGUGGGGGACCUUCGGGCCUCACGCUAUCGGAUGAGCCUGCGUAAGAUUAGCUAGUUGGUGAGGUAAGAGCUCACCAAGGCGACGAUCAGUAGCCGACCUGAGAGGGUGAUC
rnacentral:rRNA from 1 species